UGUGGUAACACUUUAUUGACUGCACUAUUGUUCGGUGCUACUUUUGAUAUCUUAAAUGCCUGUUUCAGUAUCUAUUGGGAUCCACUAGCGCCAUCUUUUCCUCUGAGGACCAAACUCUCUUUUUUCCCAAUCAAUUCCAAAUUUCCAGUUCGAUUCUAUUCCAGCACGCUUUCUUGAAAAUCAUCAUUCCUUUAACUAUUUCUCUCAAUCACAUUCAAAACCUUUCAAAUUGCACUCAUUCACUCAUCUCUUAUAAUUCUCAUUUCAUUACAUCUUAAUUUGAUAUUUCUUUCCUUCUUCUACUCCUCUUUUUAGAUCUUUUUCAGUCUUCAGUUAACAGAUCAUACUGAUGGCUUCCCCAACUAAAGAAGAAUUAACCUCCUCUUCUUCUUCCACUCGCCAAUGGAACCAUGAUAUCUUCUUAAGUUUUCGAGGUGAAGACACACGUUAUGGUUUUACAUGCCAUUUAUACACAGCUUUGUGUAACUAUGGCUUAAACACCUUCUUUGAUAAAAAUCUUGAGAGGGGAGAAGAAAUUUCAAAGGAACUUCUUAAAACCAUUGAAAUGUCAAUGAUUUCGAUCGUUGUCUUGUCUGAAAAUUAUGCAUUUUCUAUUUGGUAUUUGGAUGAACUUGUCAAGAUUCUUGAGUGUAGAAAUACUGGACAGAUCCGGAAGGUUUAUCCAAUUUUCUACAAAGUGACUCCAUCCGAAGUUAGAAAAUAUGAGGGAAAGUUUGGGAUAGCACUAGAUAACCAUGAGAAAAAAUUCAAAGAUGACAUGGAAAAGGUUAAGAGAUGGAAGGAAGCUUUAACUGAAGUAGCUAACUUGUCUGGACAUGAAUACAAGAAUGGUGAAUAUGAAUCUGAAUUUAUCAAAAGAAUUAUUGAAGAGAUAUCAAGUAUUAAAUCAAUUCACAUAAAAUUACCUAUUGCUAAAUAUCCCGUUGAAGUAGAUUCUCAAGCAGAAGCCAUAGAAUCGCUUUUAGAUGUGGAGUCCAAUGGUGUUUUCAUGGUAGGAAUCUAUGGUCUUGGGGGAGUGGGUAAGACUACAAUCUCAAAAGCCGUUUAUAAUAGAAUUAAUGAUUGUUUUGAAGGAAGCUGCUUUCUAGAAAACGUUAGAGAAAAUUCAAAGACAAAUGCUGGCAUUAUCCAAUUACAAGAGAGACUGCUUUCUAAGAUCUUACGAAGUAGAAUUGUUAAGGUGAAUAGUGUACUUGAAGGAAUAACUAUGAUAAAAGAAAGGUUCUGCAAUAAGAAAGUUCUUUUAAUUCUUGAUGAUGUGGAUCAAUCAAAAGAGAUAGAAAAUUUGCUUGAAUAUUGUAACUGGCUUGCUUCAGGAAGUAGAGUCAUCAUAACAACAAGAGACAAAAACGUUCUACCCAAUCUUGGAAGAGAUCCUCAAAUAAGAACUUAUGAGGUUCAAAAAAUGAAUCCAUGUGAUGCUCUUGUUCUUUUCAAUAUGCACGCCUUUGGAAACAAUAAUCCUAAGCAAGGAUAUUCAAAUCUUGUAGAGCAAAUUAUGUCUUAUGUUGAUGGCCUUCCAUUAGCUCUAGUAACAAUGGGUUCUGAUUUGUAUGGCAAAAGUAUAGAUCAAUGGACAUGUGCAGUCGAAAAGUAUAAAAAGAUUCCACAUGGAGAAAUUAUUAAUAAACUCAAGAUUAGUUAUGAUGGAUUGGAAAAAAGAGAAAGGGAUAUUUUUCUUGAUAUUGCAUGUUUUUUUAAGGGAUUUAAAAUGGAUGAAGUUGUGAAUAUAUUAGAUGCUUGCAAAUUAUCUUCAAGUUUGGGUAUUAGUAAACUUAUUGAGAAGUGUCUCAUAACUGUUGACAUAUGGAGCAUACUGUGGAUGCAUGACUUGCUACAACAAAUGGGUAGAGAAAUCAUUGAACAAGAAUCUGAAGAGCUUGAAAAUCGUAGCAGGAUAUGGUGUUAUGAGGAUGCUUAUAAAUUGCUGACUGAAAACAUGGGGUCGAAUAAAAUUCGAGGCAUAAUGUGGUACUCACCUAAACCAAGAUUGGUGAAAUUGCAAGCUAAUGCUUUCAAAAAUAUGAGAAAUCUCAAAUUUCUCUUAGUUGAGAAUGUACGAAUUUCUAAAGGGCUUAAAUAUCUACCCAACGAGUUAAGAUUGCUUCAGUGGUCAGAAUAUGAUUUUCCCUUGCCAUUAAAAUUUUACCCUCACAAUCUUGUUGUGCUGAAUAUGCCGAAUAGUCAGAUUAGAUUGGAGAAACUAUUAAAACAGGGCCGCGCAUUUGAAGCAUUGAAAAAUGUCAAUCUCUGUGGGUGUAAAUUCAUUACAAAAUUACCUUCCUUAUUAUGCGCCCCAAACUUAAAGAAUUUGGAUAUGCGUGGCUGUGUAAAUUUAAUAGAGGUUCAUGAGUCGUUUGGAUAUCUUGAUAAGCUUGAAAGGUGGGACCUCACAAACUGCCGAAACCUUAUGAUUCUUCCAAGUCUCCUCGUGCUAAAGUCCCUUAAAUAUUUUAAUCUAAGUUACUGCGGAAGGCUUGAGAAGUUUCCUGCUAUUUGUGCCCCAAACUUAGUGUCAUUGUUCAUUUCUUUUUGUAAAAACUUGAUAGAGGUUCAUGAGUCAGUUGGAGAUCUUGAUAAGCUUGAAUGGUGGAACCUCGAAAGCUGCGUAAAACUUGAGAUUCUUCCAAGCCGCCUCCAGCUGAGAUCCCUUAAAUAUUUUAAUCUAAGUUACUGCGGAAGGCUUGAGAAGUUUCCUGCUAUUUGUGCCCCAAACUUAGAGGUAUUGUGCUUUUCUUUUUGUAAAAACUUAAUAGAGGUUCAUGAGUCAGUUGGAGAUCUUGAUAAGCUUCAAUGUUGGGACCUCGAACGCUGCAUAAAACUUGAGAUUCUUCCAAGCCGCCUCCGGCUGAGAUCCCUUCAAAGCUUGAAUCUAGGAAACUGCGGAAGGCUUGAGAAGUUUCCUGAUAUUCACCCAGAAAUGAAAUAUUUGGAGGAUUUAUAUAUGGCUAAUAGUGGUAUUAGAGAAUGGCCUUCAUCGUUCACGCAUCUCACCAAAGGGCUUCACAGUUUUCAGCUGUCUAACAAUGAAAACCUUUGGAAUUUUCUGCAUAGCCGCAAUAAAUUGCAACUACUCGAGGAAAUAGAUAUUCCCACUGUCAAUUCCUUUGAUGGCUUUUCGGGAUAUGGGUUUCCGAGCUUGACAUCUCUGCAGCUCUACUCUUGGGAUGGAGAUAUAACUGAAUUAGAUUUUCAAUACUUCCCUCUAUUGCGCUGUCUUGAUAUAUAUGAUUCCAAUAUUAUUAGUAUUCCCCAAAGCAUUAGCGGAUUAGCUAGAUUACGAGCUAUUGACAUACGAAAUUGUAAGCGGCUUCGGGAAAUUCCAACGCUUCCACAAUCUGUAAGAAAUGUGUCUGUAAGCGGAUGCCCGUCGGUGGAUCCACAAUCAUUUAGCAGAUUAUUGAUUCAGUUUGGAGGUGCAAGAAGCAACAUAUCAAUGGAUCCCAUUCAUGACUCUGAAUCUGAAUCUGAAUAUGAAAUUUUGUACCGUCUUACACUACCAGUAACAGAGAUUCCAAAGUACUUAAAAUUCAACCAUCAGACUUUUGGAAAUUCCGUAUCCUUCUGGGUUGGUAAAAAGUUUUCAAAAUUAGCCAUCUGUAUUGCUUUUCGAACGGGGGAGGCACAUAAGUACAACGAUUGUGGUGUCAAAAUUUCCAUCAAUGGGUGUGAACAACUAGAUUCAGUUUUCUAUAAAAAUUGGACAGAAGAGGAACUGUGGUUAUUGUCUAUAUCCUUUGAGAAAUUGAAUAAACAAAAACUAUCUCUACAGAAUCACAUUGAAGUUGAGGUUAUACCAUUAAGUUCUCAUGACUUGCUUGGAAACCACACUGAUUUGAUAAAAUGGUUGGGGGCCAAUGUGGAAUGCACCUGCUAUCCUCAGAAUUCAGAUGUUACUUGCUUUCCGCUUCCGUGUGCUAUGAAUGGUUGUGGGUCUUCCUCGAUUUCGAAUGACACUGAGCUCCCGCCUUUGCGACCUGUUUCCUCCACUUCUUAUGCUUCAGAUUCAGAUCACAGGGUUCUUAACAAUGGAAGAAACUUAUCCAAAAAAAAAAAAAAACAAUGGAAGAAAUUACAUACUUGCUGGAACAGGACUCCAAAAGCGAAGAAGAAUUUGUCUCUGACGGCAAAGCCCAGCAGAGAGCGGAGCUCUAAACCUUGGAGAUGGAGCUCUUCUCUUAUUCAAUUUCUUCUUCAUUUUCUAAACAACACAUAAUUAUGAUGUUAGAGAAUAUCCUCGAAGACACAGUGGACCAUUCUUUGGUUGUUUGGCCUCGUUGGAGCAUAAUCAUGUGCCAAGUAAGCUUACCUUCAAUGUUUUGAAACAGCUCAAGACCUCUGUUGUUGACAGGAGUUUCAAACCUCUGAGGCAUCUCUGUACAGAAGUUGUUUUGCUGAUGCCCUACUUUACUAAUCUCUUUAACCAAUUUUGCCUUCCAUUUGAUAGCAUCUGAUAUCUACAAAAAUCCAUACCUUUUUCCCUUUUUGUUUCCUAGGUCAACUUCAUCACUUAAGAAGGAGACAUGUUGCAUUGUACAGUGAAAAAAUGUGGAGCAGCUGUUACAAUGGACAAUACCUAUGUUCAGGUCAUCAAGAUAUUACACUUAUACAUCUUAAAAGCAUUUUCCCACAACUUAAAGUUUCUUGGUAGUAUAGCACAUGAACAUAAGUUGAAGGUACCAAGAGAAAAAGUGCAACUAAAGGAACCGAUUUUAGCAGUUCAAAGAGUUUCUUUGCUGAUUUGUAGAUGUUUGGUGGAUUGGUGGUUUCGAUCUUUUAGGUUCAUCUCAAUUCUAAUACAAGAAAUUUCACUUCAGAUUUCUUUGGUAAUCCUAUCCAUGACCUUCAUUUGGCAUCUUGAUGACAAGAGUAAUGUUUACAUGGUGGUGUUGGUUGAUCUAUUUUAAGAGAUUAUAAUGUUUUUUUUUUUUUUCUUCUUCAAUUUUUGGACUUUUCCCUCCCACUUGUAUGAAAGGAAGUAAGUUGAAGGCUCUUUGCUCAAAUUAUGAGAUAAUACCAAAUUAAGCAAAAUUUGAAUUGUUUAUUCUUAUAUUUCAAAAGUAAAGUAGAGAUCAUUAUG